rnacentral:lncRNA from 1 species
UCGAGCUCAAGUUCAGUAAUUAGGUGGCGAGCCAAGCUUGAUCAACAAGACAGAAGCUCAAGCUCGAGCUCGUUCAAUAAAAAUAGAAGCUCUGAGUCGAGCCCGAGACGAGCUUGAAACUCAAAUAUUUAAAAGAGCUGAGCUCGAGCCGGCUACUAUUUGACUCGGCUCGUUUACAACCAUUGCUCAUGCAGCAGAACUCUCCUCAAAGGCUGAAAAUCCAGUGAGUGUCUUCAUCUUCUUCUCUGUUUCAUUAUAUAUUGAUAGGCACUGCACAACUGCAUGACACAUGUGAUCGUGGCAUAGAAAAUGCAAGAAGAUAGCCAUUUUUUUAUUACUAAACUACUCAUUUCACCAUCAUCAUCUUUGACUAUCUAUGCAGGUGGUAACAUCUAGAUACUAUUAUUUAUAUAGUGCUUUGUGAAUUCUUGCUACUCAUGAAUCAUGUGGCUUUGUUGAAGAUUUUCUCUAGUAUUAUUCUUGGUAUGUUUUGUUAUUACAUGUAUAUAUUAUCCUUCCCAAAAAUUGAUAUGUACUGCUGCACUGCACAGACAUUACUGUCCGGGAAAAAAAAUGUUCUGUACAAGAAUAUUGAUGUCCUGUAAUAAGAUGCUCCAGCUGUACACACACACACACAUUAUAUAUCUUAUUCUUGGAAUCAUCUUGAUUUAUUUUUGGGAGUGGCAUAUCCAAUCCAACCACAUAUUGCCUGUUCAUUGUCAGUACAUACAAUUUCUAUUCAGGUUUCAUGUUUGAAAUCUCUUAUGAUUUAAUAUAGAUUUGAGAAUCUUCUAAUAACUUCCUUUGUAGGGAUUAAGGAAAAGACAUUGAACUCUUUUCUUGGUCAAGUUUUUUGGCAUCAAGUUGUUGGAAUCCCAAGAAUAGUUAACUCGAACCAUUUUUGACUCGUAAUAAUUAAGAUCUCCUACAUAGAUGCUACAUCUGGUGAAAUGAGAUACACGCCAUGCAAUAUCCCAAAUACGUAAUCGUAGGGGGUGUUCGGUAUAUGGUAAUAUCAUAUUCAGUUGAGUAGAUAGGGUUCGGUACUUACUCUCGAGACGAUGUCACGUAAGAUUAGUCAUGGUUUAUGAGUCUUAGCCUAUCCCAUAUGAUAAAAAUAAUCUCGAGCAAUCGAACGCUCCAUAGUUGUUGAAGUAGGAAGAUUAGUUAAUGGAAGCAUUAAUUCUUAGCCGUGACUGGAUCCCGGUGAAAUGAGGUAUAUAUAUUGAGUAAGGUGAAUACGCAAUGAUAGGCACUAAGGAGGAAAAAAGGAAAGGUGAAAGGGAUCCAAUGAAGGAGAUUGGUGGUUAUACUUAUAGUAGAGAGAAUCAAAUGGAAUAGAAAAAGUAGUAGCAUGCUUUUCUGAAAUUAGGCUAUGAGAAAGACAGACAAAAUAAGGUGACUCUGAUUCCCUCUUUAAUUCCUAUCCUUUCUUCCAAACUAAUUUCUUUCUCAUGUGCACCUGCUACCACAAUUCCAUGUAUCAUAUCCUUUCAAUUAUUCAACUCUUUGUUGUUUUUCAUGUUUCGUGUCUCCAAAUCUUGGUUUCUGAGAAAGACUUCUAUCUACUUGCAUGCCUUCCAGAAUUCUACAUUUUUAACUUGUUUUAAUAUAUAUCAAUUAUUACCAUUUUUUAACUUUAAUCUAUCAAUUUUUGACAUUAAUACCAAAACUAUGCAGAUUCAUCGUCCUCCC